rnacentral:rRNA from 1 species
CCAGAGAACUUAGCAGAGAUGCCUUGGUGGCCUUCGGGAACUCUGAGACAGGUGCUGCAUGGCUGUCGUCAGCUCGUGUUGUGAAAUGUUGGGUUAAGUCCCGCAACGAGCGCAACCCUUAUCCUUUGUUGCCAGCGGCUCGGCCGGGAACUCAAAGGAGACUGCCGGUGAUAAACCGGAGGAAGGUGGGGAUGACGUCAAGUCAUCAUGGCCCUUACGGCCAGGGCUACACACGUGCUACAAUGGCGCAUACAAAGAGAAGCGACCUCGCGAGAGCAAGCGGACCUCAUAAAGUGCGUCGUAGUCCGGAUUGGAGUCUGCAACUCGACUCCAUGAAGUCGGAAUCGCUAGUAAUCGUAGAUCAGAAUGCUACGGUGAAUACGUUCCCGGGCCUUGUACACACCGCCCGUCACACCAUGGGAGUGGGUUGCAAAAGAAGUAGGUAGCUUAACCUUCGGGAGGGCGCUUACCACUUUGUGAUUCAUGACUGGGGUGAAGUCGUAACAAGGUAGGCGUAGCGAG